rnacentral:rRNA from 1 species
UACGUAGGGGCAAGCGUUGUCCGGAAUUAUUGGGCGUAAAGAGCGCGUAGGCGGUCUGAUAAGUCGGUUGUGAAAGUCGGGGGCUCAACCCUCGGAUGCCGAUCGAUACUGUCAGGCUAGAGUCCGGAAGAGGCGAGUGGAAUUCCUGGUGUAGCGGUGAAAUGCGCAGAUAUCAGGAGGAACACCAAUUGCGAAGGCAGCUCGCUGGGACGUAACUGACGCUGAGACGCGAAGCGUGGGGAGCAAACAGG